rnacentral:rRNA from 1 species
UACGGAGGGUGCAAGCGUUAUCCGGAUUUACUGGGUUUAAAGGGUGCGUAGGUUGAUUGGUAAGUUAGUGGUGAAAUACUACAGCGCAACUGUGGAACUGCCAUUAAUACUAUCAAUCUUGAAUGCAGUGGAGGCGGCGGAAUGUGUCAUGUAGCGGUGAAAUGCUUAGAUAUGACACAGAACACCAAUUGCGAAGGCAGCUUGCUACACUGUGAUUGACACUGAGGCACGAAAGCGUGGGGAUCAAACAGG